UCUGAUUUUCAGUACGAA
rnacentral:snRNA from 1 species